AACGCAUCAUCCAGAAUUUAAAAGUACUUACAAGCUCGUAUAACCUCAUGGGUUAGCUGGAAAUAAAACAAUUGUUUAGCAGCGGAAAAACGGAAGAUACAAGGGCUACAUCAACAUCAUGGUGAGAGCGUGUUGGAAUAUAGGCCCGUAACCCAAACAAGCAAAGCGUACUCUUACUCUUCGUUGGAGCUUCCUGCAUCAUUAAAGGAUGCAACCACUAGGGUCAAUACAUUGAAUGUAUUGGUAAGAUCACUAGGGGUUAUAUCAAAAUUUACCAAGUAUAUGCAUAAUGUGGCAAAGUGGGGUUCAAGGCUAUUUGCAUAAAAGCUUAGUUGUAUUGUCCUAUCUUUUAAUCAAAUAGAAUUUUAUCACUAUUGGACAUAGGGUAGACAUACCCAUGCUCUUAUUAAACUAAGGACAUUGAGUAGACACAUCAAUGCUCCUAAACCCAAGUUCAAACCAUUCCUUUUAUUUGAAAAUUAGAAUGAGUGAGAUUUUCCUUACAGCUCCACAUCCAGUUGCUCAAAAUUUGUCCAUUACCGAGGACACGGCUAAGUACUUAGUUUUGACGCUCUCGAGAGUUUGUACACAUUCCCCACAAGAAACCGACAGGUUAAUCUCUUGCUGUCCUCGGGGUAGAGUAGCAACGGCGUCGAUUACGAGAUUUUCAGAGGUAAUUCCCUAAACCACGAGAGAAUCAUGCCCCCCUACACAUUCUACCUCAGUACAAUUCCUUGGGUCUAGGUUCAUACAACUUACUCUUGUCUCGCCAGAGCUCAUAUAGCAUUGUGGUUGUACUGGAAGCUACUAAAUAGGAAACUAGUCCAGUCUCAGUUACCUCAGGCGGCAUUCCACAGUUGCAAUGUAGGCGCUCCCCGAAUCCACGGGAGAUACGUCCAUGGACGAUCCCUUUCCGAAUCCACGGAAAGUCGACUCAGAGGGACCCAUAGAAAUGGACCUGACGCCGCUAAUCCUCAAAAUUCUCAAAGCCGCCCACCCAGGAUGGUUCAUUGAAUUAAUUGUUUUGCCUUACUCUUGUAAAACAUUUCUUUUCUCCAUAGGCAUAAUAAUAUCAUAAUGUAUUAAUAUCCCCCACGAUACUAUCAUAGCCUAGCAUUCAACUACAAUCGAUGGCAAUUUGGUAGCAGGGUAAUGACAAGGGUAAACUAUACUACCUGGGAUUUAUAGCUAGCAUAGAGGUACGAGUAAUAUUCCUAAUGCAUCUAAUAAAACAACUAGUGCAUAGUAAAAAUAUUUGGGAGAUGAUCAAAGUGAACUUGCCUUGUCCAAGGUUGUGGUAGUUCUCGCACUCUUCGCAACAACAAGGUUCACAAUCCACACAAUCUAAAAUAAAAGAAAGCACACACACAAUAAACAUGCCAUUCAAUACAAAACAUGCUAUGAUGCAUAUGUCAUGACGAUGCACACAUAGGUUGCUUCUAAAUGUGACAUGUUUAGUUUUCUGUUUUGAAAAGCUUCACAAAAGAUUUGGACAGAUUAUACAAUAACAAAGAGGUACUUAUUUUGUAUGAAACAAGGAUGGGCUUUAAUUAAAAGCUUAUAUGAUUUUUGUAAAGCAUGGAGCAAGAUAAAUUUGUGUGGCCAUAUCAUUUACAAAAUAAUUUCCUUUCUGGUCCUAAUGGACAGAGAACAUACUCAAAUUAUUUUUCAGCAAGCUAACAUGCUCAAAACUAGUUUGAAAUAAUUCAUUUGAAUAUUAAACCAUAAUUAAGCAUUCUGUAAUUUGUUUCUGGUAAAGUUAUUCAAAGUUAAAAUUAUAUUAUGCCAAAAGAUUAUGCAGGUUAUGAGGAUUCCAUAAAGGUAUAGAACUUCAAAUUUGGCCAAACGGUUUGAGAGAUAUGAUGGUUUGAAGUUUCAGGGGCUUUUUUGCAAAGUUACUUUUUAAUUCGGCCGAGAAAUAAAUUUUAAUUUUAUACGGGACACGUGGAGCUAUCCUAUAGGCUGGUACCGGUUCGGUUAGGGUUUUAAUCUCAGCCGUUCAUGGAGAUCCGACGGCAGAGAGGGGAGACGGCUCACCGGGCGGCGCUAGGGUUCGUCGAAGACGAGGAAGACUGCUGCGGCGACAGCACGGCGACUCGGGCGGCAGUUCGGCUCGGGGAAGUAGGGGAACGGGUGCGGCUCGGCGAAGCGGUCCCAGCGGGGGUCGCGGCUUUGCUCGGGGAGCUCGAACGCGACGUCAAGGACGACGAAGGGCGGCGGCCGGCGGCGACGGCCUCUGGUCUGCGGCGGUCCAAAACAGAAAACGACCGCGUCACACGGUGCGCGCGAGAGAGAGAGAGAGG
rnacentral:lncRNA from 1 species